GUGCUUGCCUCGGCAGCACAUAUACUAAAAUUGAAAUGAUACAGAGAAGAUUAGCAUAGCCCCUGCAAAAGGAUGACCCACAAAUUCAUGAAGCCUUCAAAAAAAAA
rnacentral:snRNA from 1 species